AGGACGAACGCUGGCGGCGUGCUUAACACAUGCAAGUCACGGGGGCUCGCAAGAGCAACCGGCGAACGGGUGCGUAACACGUGAACAACCUGCCCUCGUGUGGGGGAUAGCCGGGCUAACGCCCGGGUAAUACCGCAUACGUUCCUUUGGGGGAGUCCCCGAGGGAGGAAAGCUCCGGCGCACGGGGAGGGUUCGCGGCCUAUCAGCUCGUUGGCGGGGUAAUGGCCCACCAAGGCGACGACGGGUAGCU
rnacentral:rRNA from 1 species